AAUGACUGCAGUCGGGUACAGGAUUUCUUUCUGAGGUUAUGGAAACGUUCACAAGGUCUCUCUCUGUCACCCAGGCUGGAGUACAGUGCUGUGGUCAUAGCUCACUGCAGCCUCGAACUCCUGGGCUCAAGUGGUCCUCCAUUCAUUUCUGUGUCCUCAGUCUCCAGCACAGGACCAGCCAGGCACAGAGAGGGACUCAUUGGAGAAGUGUGGCCUUUCUCAAGCAGGAGAGAGGCGAGGAGGAGCUGGAGCACCGGCAGGGGU
rnacentral:lncRNA from 1 species